AACGGUCUAUACCUGCGGUACCUGCGGAAGGAUCAUUAACGAUUUCGGUGUAAAAAACCGUUUUCUACCUAUGUCUACGCGUACCACUUGUUUCCUCGGGGGGCUUGCCCCCCGCUAGGACCCUUUAUCAAACCUUUUUGUAAUAGCAGUCAGCGUCUGAUACUACGUUAAUUAUUAAAACUUUUAACAAUGGAUCUCU
rnacentral:misc_RNA from 1 species